UAGGGAAUAUUGCACAAUGGGCGAAAGCCUGAUGCAGCAACGCCGCGUGCACGAUGAAGGCCUUCGGGUCGUAAAGUGCUUUUCGGGGAGAUGAGAAAGGACAGUAUCCCCGGAAUAAGGAUCGGCUAACUACGUGCCAGCAGCCGCGGUAAAACGUAGGAUCCGAGCGUUAUCCGAAUUUACUGGGCGUAAGGCGCGUGUAGGCGGUUCGGUAAGUUGGAUGUGAAAUCUCCUGGCUCAACUGGGAGAGGUCGCUCAAUACUGUCGGACUAGAGGGUGGUAGAGGGAGGUGGAAUUCCCGGUGUAGUGGUGAAAUGCGUAGAUAUCGGGAGGAACACCAGUGGCGAAAGCGGCCUCCUAGACCGCUCCUGACGCUCAGACGCGAAAGCUAGGGGAGCGAACGGGAUUAGAAACCCCGGUAGUCCUAGCUGUAAACGAUGUGAACUUGGCGUUGGUGGGGUAAAAGCCAUCAGUGCCGAAGCUAACGCGAUAAGUUCACCGCCUGGGGACUACGGCCG
rnacentral:rRNA from 1 species